ensembl:lncRNA
GGGGUUCUGGGGGACCUCUGGGGUGUCCUGCGGUGUUUUGGUGUGGUUUCGGUGUAUUUCAGGGUGUUUUGGGGUGUUUCCGGGUUGUUUUUGGGUGUUUCAGGGUGUUUCUGGGUGUUUCCGGUGUGUUUUGGGGUGUUUUCGGGGUCUUUCUGGGUGUUCCCGGUGUGUUUUGGGGUGUUCUUGGGGUAUUUCUGGGUGUUUCCGGGUUGUUUUUGGGUGUUUCCGCGCGUUCCCGGUGCGUUUCGGGGUGUUUUUGGGGUGUUUCGGGCUGUUUCCGGUGCGUUUUGGGGUGUUUCUGGGUGUUUCUGGGUUGUUUUUGGGUGUUUCAGGGUUGUUUUUGGGUGUUUUUGGGUGUUUCCGGGUGUUUCCACGCGUUCCCGGUGCGUUUCGGGGUGUUUUGGGGGUAUUUCUGGGUGUUUCCAGGUUGUUUUUGGGUGUUUCCGGGUGUUUCCGGGUGUUUCCGGGCGUUCCCGGUGCGUUUCGGGGUGUUUUUGGGGUGUUUCGGGCUGUUUCCGGUGCAUUUUGGGGUGUUUCUGGGUGUUUCCGGGUUGUUUUUGGGUGUUUCCGGGUUGUUUUUGGGUGUUUCCGGGUGUUUCCGUGCAUUCCCGGUGCGUUUCGGGGUGUCCCAGUCCGCCCUGACCCCGUUUCUCCCGCCCCGGCAGACGUUUACGCCUUCGGGCUGGGCGAGGACGCUCACGCCGAGACGCUGAACGCGCUGGCGUCGCACAAGGCGGGGGAGCAGCACCUCUUCUUCCUCAGGGACACCGAGGACCUGCAGGAGGUGUUCCACCGCAUGAUCGGUACCCGGGAGCCCCGCCACGGCCGGGAAAACACACAGGAAACAGACGGGAAAACACACAGAAAACAGGCAGAAAACAGGCAGAAAAACACCCCAAAACAGGCAGAAAAACACCCCAAAAACAGCCGGGAAAACACCCCAAAACAGGCAGAAAAACACCCCAAAAACAGGCAGAAAACAGGGAGAAAAACACCACAAAACAGGCAGAAAACACACAGGAAACAGCCGGGAAAACACACAGGAAACAGGCAGAAAACACACAGGAAACAGGCAGAAAAACAGGCAGAAAAACAGCCCAAAAACAGGCAGAAAAACACCUCAAAAACAGCCAGAAAACACACAGAAAACAGGCAGAAAACACACAGAAAACAGGCAGAAAACACACAGGAAACAGGCAGAAAAACAGCCACAAAAACAGCCCAAAAACAGACAGAAAACACACAGGAAACAGGCAGAAAAACACACAGAAGAACAGCCCAGAAACAGGCAGAAAAACAGGCAGAAAAACAGGCAGAAAAACAGGCAGAAAAACAGGCAGAAAAACACCACAAAAACAGGCAGAAAACCAGCCCAAAACAGCCACAAAAACACCCCAGAACAGGCAGAAAAACAGGCAGAGAAACAGCCCAAAACAGGCAGAAAACACAAAAAAAAAACACGGCAAAAACACCCCUAAAACCCCCAGAAAACACCGUAAAAACACCCCAAACCUCCCCCAAAAAUCCCACCCUACAAAACACCCCCAAAACCAACCAAAAAAACCCCCAAAACUUCCCCAAAAAAACCCCAAAACCUCCCCAAAAAAACCCCAAAACCUCCCCAAAAAAUCUCCCCAAAAACCCCAAAAAUCUCCCCCAAAAAAACCAAAAACCCAAAAAACCCCAAAAACCCCAAAAAAACCCCAAAAUCUCCCCCCCAAAAAAAACCCCA